AAAAAUCUGGAUCACAUCCCCAAAUUUUGGAACUUAUAAACAUGCCAUAGCAGGGAGAGUGGAAACUACAAAAAUACAUCUAUAUCAUCCCAGAAGAUUAUACUUUUUUCCUCCUUGUUUCUCUAUUUGAUUGUUCAAAUUUCUGCUUCCCAAUUUAGCAUAAUUUUUCCUAACAAUGACCAUAUAGUUAAUGAAUUAAAAAUUAAAUAUCCACUCUGUCAUGAGAUGUGACCAUAGAUAUCAGGCAAUUUACAAUGAGAAUACUACAGGAACAGAAUAGCCACAGACAAAAUAAAAGGCACAACAUUUAUAUUUAAGGAUGCACAUUACAUACACAUUUUGGAGCUCCCUCAGAACUUUCGCUAAGGUUGGGAAAUAAUCCACCAAUAAAUUUCAUCUUGUCAUGGACUUUCAUAUUUGUGCUAGGAGGUACAAGAUUCAUCAAAUACCAGCAAUCUACUAAUCCCAACUGAAAAUUUUCCAUCUAUCCUUACGGCUCUGCGUUUGCAAUUAGAUCAAUCAAGCUCUGCAGCUCCAAUGGCAUAGAAGUCCCAAACAUGAGGGGAAGUACAUCCAGUCAAAAUCAUCAACAUAAUGUCAACUUUUACCCUUUGGCAUAUUUAUCCACAUAACCCAUCACAAGUUUUGUUAAUUUCCGUUGUGAUGAGUCAAUGUAUCGAUUUAUCUUUGCCUUAGACUUCGGUAUCUGGUGGCUCUUCAUUGCUUCUGACACUUUAUCAACGGUCUUCUUCACAACAGUCUUAAAAGUUUCCUUGCUCAUGUUACCCUGUCGCCAUGAAGGCUUUAAAACCUCCUUUACAAAAUCUGCAAGGCAAGCCUUGAAAAGCUUCAUUGAUCUGGACUCCUUCUUGCUCUUCCCUGGGGACUUAAUCUGAUCAAUCUCCAUCUCACCCAUAUUUGUGUUUGUUAAAGCAUUGGGAUUACUCUGGCUGCCAUUUUCAACGUCACCAAUUUCUAAAUCUGCUGUCUCACCAAAUUCCUCAUUAACAAUAGAUGUAGCAAGCACAAUGCCACCGACCUCUUUCUUCUUGUUGUUCUCUUCCACAUCCAAAGGUUGGCUUGAGCCUUUUAGCCUCAAAACGAUGUCAGAGUCACCAGAGGGUUCCCACUUCUUAAAAUGAUCUAAUUUCAUAUAUGAGUUUGAAGAUGGCUCAAUGCUGUCAAAGAGUGGAUCAUACUGGUCACCACCUGACCUAGGAAUAAUUUUCCCAACACCACUAGCAGAAGUUGGUGAAGUUGCCUCUUUUGGUCUAACACCCAGUCCAUCAACCGAAGCAUUACUCAAACCUAAAGGAUUAUCAUGCGUGCUACCAUAGGUUGUGCCUUUUUCUUGCCUGAAGACAUCAGAACUGAAUCUGGAGCUGAGUGGCUUCUCAAAAGUAGAUGCAUAAGGAUUAAAGUGAGUUGAAUUUCUUGAUACUCCAAAAUCAAGAGGAUGUGAUGGCUGAUUUCUGUCUUGAAGUUCUGGUGGAUAUCUAGAUGAACAACCAACUUUCCCUGGCAGACUAUAGACACCAUCAGGCACGGAAUGAUGCAAAUUGUAGGGUGCCUGUCGCUGUUGUAAGUAUGGAUCAAUAUCAGAAAAAGACUUCAAAAUCUCUCCUGGAGUUAAAUUGUCACCAGAAAAAGAUUGUUUGGUUGCAGAUCCUUCCUGUAAAAAGGGCAUAGGUUGAGAGUAAUUGUUGCUCCGAAAGGAGGAAUCUGAAACACUUGUAGCUUGCAUUGGAAGCUGUUUUAAACGAUCUUCUCCAAAAAGAACAGAAUCUCCAAAUUGUUGACUGGAUGGAUUGCAUCCAAGUGGAGGCUUCAACCCAAAAUCUUCCAAAUGUGAGAAAGGUUGAUGUGGCUCUUGCAAUGGAGGGUAGGCUCGAUGCUGGAACUCACCAACCUGAGAAUUACUAGACAAUUCAGUUGAGUAGGGUUUCGAGAAUAUUUGGGAACCAAAGCAACUCUGCUGAAAUAGCAAACCAGCAUUUCCAGAUGGACCAUGUGGUGGCAAUAGUGGUGGUGGUGUCGGCAAUGUGGCAGAUGAGGUAUUUAAUGGUAGAGAAAAAAGAGAAUUUUGAUUGGGCAACAUUAUAGAAGGAAAAUUUCCCAAAGGAGCAGUUUGAGAUUGAAAUGCCGCAGUCCGUCGCAUCAAGGUGUAAUCCCUUGAUAGCUGUGUCAUAUGUGGGGCAUUAUUAGCAUCUGAAUUUGGAGCAGAAAAAUGAAAAGUGGGUAUCUGGGAAGGAUUAUGUACAGAAUCUGCAGAAUUUGGAAGAGUUUCCCUACAAUGAAGGUUCUUUGGAGAAGUUCUAGAUGUUUUAUCAGGUGAUGUAUCAGAUAUAGAAGAAUCAUCAGUUCGUUGGGCUUGAUAAUCAGCAUCUUGAAGCACUCGAUCUGACUGAACAGAUUGAGAUUGUUGAAUCACAGAAUCCUUCAAAGAAGAAAUUACAUCCUGAGAAGCUUCAACAUGUGACUUCAGGAUGUUAGAAUCACUUGCUGGUUUAGAGGAAAAAAUAUCAACCACCACCGGUUGGUCAGAUUCCAUUGCUUCCCGAAAUUUUUCAUCCAUACAAUUUUUACCAUCUUCAGAUCUUUCUUCAACUAAGCUAGUUUUUGGCACUUCAGCAACAAAGUCUCUAAUACUAUCGAAUUUUAUUAUUUCGGAAUCAACUAACGCAUCACAAACAGAAUCUUUUCUGUUAUGGAAAAUGGUGUUAUCUUUUGUAGCACAAAUGCUGCUAGCAGAUGUAUCAUGAUUGUUCCGCCCUUCCUGGUUCAUGAUUUCCUGCCCAUGAUCUGAUACCAUUGGUGAGAGUUUCUUGUUACCUUCAUGAGUAUUACAAUUCAUUGAACUGGGAGGAAGUUGCACUUCUUGUUGCUUGCUCUUGUGAUGCCUCGAUCCAUUAAUUUUCUCAAAAUCAUGGUGCAUAUAACGACAGGAUGCACCACGGUAGCACCUGCCUCUGAGAAAGUUAAAACAGUCUGGCAACUGACCCUUUUCCAGUCUCCUAUUGCCACCGCUAAAUUCACCUGCAUGCCUAAAAGAGGGAGACCUGCUCCUACUUCUUCUAUUCCUGGGAGACCAUCCACGAGAUCUACUUCUCUUUUCUCUUCUUCUCCGAGGAUGAUUCCUCCUCCUCCUAUCUAGAGGUGACCGGCUCCGGCUUCUCCCUCUUUUAUUACGCCUAUAAGCAUGGUGUGAAUCUUCGGAGUCACUGUCACUGACACCUUCUCUAACCAAUCUUCCAAACUUAUCUAUUUUCUGGGCAUUUGAAGUAAAUUUUGCAUUUUUAUCUUCGCCUUCCAAUUUUGCAUUUUUAUCUUUGCUGUCCUCAUAUUUACCACUAGAAGCAACAUUUGCCCCCGCACCUCCCGAAGCAUCUUCUUUUGGGAGAGCCUCGUGACAAGUGGCAUGGUCAAUAGAUGAUUGGUUCUCAAGCUUAAUAUCAAUAAGUUUGGUGCUUGGCCCAGUUGCAAUGGAUAUUGGGACAGUCUCCUUAACUCCUCUUUGUGAAUACGAGGAAGAUUCCAGAGCUUUAUACAACAUGCCAGAUUCAGAUAGCAUCCCAAACCCCCUUUCACUAACUGCAACUAAUGAUGAAACUGUUUCAGGAUUGGCAUCUUUGAAAUGUGAAUCCUCAUCAUUUUCUGAGCUGUCAUUAGAAGCAUAGUCUUGCAGGAGUCUGAAUGGGCUACUGCCUUUCAUAACUUGACCCGAAUAGCUGUCAGAAUUCAUGCAUUCAGCAGCUGCUGCAACCUUAGAUGAACUAUUAUCACCAGCUAAGACUGUAGAAGAUUCCACUCUGUUGCUGGCAAAGGGAUAUUCAGUAGCCCCAGUUGGAUUAAUGACUGGGCUUUCAACCCUGAAAACUGACCUCCCAAAUGUCAAGUCAUCAUGACUGGAGACUAGCUUUGACCCUUCUUCACCCAGUUUUUCAGAUAAAACCAUCGUGCCAGCACCAGAUCCGGCUGAACUCAAUAGUUUGUGCAGCUGCUUUUUUGCAUCAAACUCGCUGCUUAUCGGAACAAUAGCUUGAGUUGGAUUUUCAAUAGGCUGAUUCACUGCCUGGUCAACAUCAGACCUGGUGAUAUCAUCUUCCAUCUCCAUAUCAGAAUCAGCAGGUGAAUGGAUUUCAGUUGUGAGCAUCAAAUGAUUGGUCGACAUUUCAGGCUGGAUUCCAUCUGAUUUACUUGCCAAAAGACACUGCUUCUUCAUCCACAAAAAAUACUCAUGUGCAAUUGCAGCUUCACUACUUGGCUCGCCACCAAACAAAAACUUGAACUCCGGAUUCUCAGAUCCCUUUAGACGAGCAAUAUCUUCAUAAGAAGAACCAUUCUUAGCAAUUAGUUGGCAAAACUCUUCGAUCUUCUGAACAAUUUUUUCUUCUGCUGGCUUAGGUGGACAAGGAACAUCGGAUGCCACAAUUCCAUUCAAUGACAAACCAUCUCCCCCAGGAUAAUUCAACUCAUUUCCACUUUGACCUUCCAAAAAUAGACUUCCAUCAUCCACAGAAAAUUUCUGUACAGAUAUACUAUGCUCAGCCCGAUUGAGAGGUCUGACUUCAGUAACAGGACCAAGAGUGCCUAAUUGUGGAUUAGAGCCACAAGGCAUGUUGAAUCCAGCAGGAAGAGGCAAAGAUACUGACGCUGAGGAAAAGACAGGGGGUGGUGAAGAUGGUGGAAUUGGCGGUGGAGAAGAAGAUGGCAGUGGUGGAGGAGGUGACGUUGAUGGGGGAACCAUGGAAGACAUUUGAGAGUUUCCAACAGUUGCCUCUAAAAUAUUCCCAGAUAGGGAAGAAGUUGAAAAAGUAGGAGGGGGAGGUGGGGGUGGUGGAAUUUGCUGUAGACCUUGCAUGCCACCAGGCUGCUGAGGCAACUGAUGAAUUGGAGCUCUAUAUAACGUCUGGCCUUGUGAAGGUGUAGGAGGUAAACUUCUAGGAGGUAAUGUGACCUGUAACAUUUCCAGAUUAUGUGAACCAGCAGCAGCAGCAGGAGGAGGAGGAGGGAGUCCAGGCGCUAAAUAAGAAGAAUGCUGCGAUCCUUGCGGAUUUGGUGGUGCAGUUGUGUAUACAUGUGGCAACCGGGCACUUCCAUGAACUGCAGGCGGUGGAGGAAAAUAAGGCUGACCCGUGUUAGGCAACCCAGGUUGAACCUGCCGAACUGCAAGAUGUGGGGCCAGAGGACCUUGCUGAUAUAUAGGCAGGCCAGGCUGACCAGGGCGAGGUAGAACUUGAGGUAAAGGCAGCAGUGGACCUUGUUGGAAAUUCUGAGGUAAAGGAAGCAGAGCCGGUGGAUGCUGUAAAAAUGGAGGUGGCCUAGGUGUCUGAGGACCUUGUCCGGAUUGCAGAUUAUAACUCCCUUGACUAAACAUCUCAAAUUCCACAACUUUAUUAGUACCAACAAAACUUUCCCACUCCCAGUGUAAUCUACACUUGGGCUUCUACAAAUGGCCAAUGGAAAUCAACGUAGAGCUCAAGUAUUGUAUCGAGGCCAUAAAUUGGACAAAAAUCAAAAUACAAAACAAACCCUUGUCGCUGAGAAUUGAAAAAAUUGAAGCAUGGAUUCUAGGGUUUCGAUGGGAUUGGGUGAGAUUGAGGUGAUGCCUUUUUUUUUUAUUGCCCUAAUAAGGAAGUUGUUGCUCUCUUGCUUGUGUGUGUGUGUAUGGUACAUGUUGAUUCGGUUCUGUUUAACUCGGC
rnacentral:misc_RNA from 1 species